GAUGAACGCUAGCGGCAGGCCUAAUACAUGCAAGUCGAGCGGUGUCUUCGGGCAUAGUGGCGCACGGGUGCGUAACACAUACGCAACCUACCUUACAUUGGGGGAUAGCCUUUCGAAAGGGAGAUUAAUACCGCAUAAGACAGUAGCUGGGCAUCCAGCAGCUGUUAAAGAUUUAUCGAUGUAAGCUGGGCAUGCGUCCAAUUAGCUAGUUGGUGAGGUAACGGCUCACCAAGGCAAUGAUUGGUAGGGGAACUGAGAGGUCAAUCCCCCACACUGGCACUGAGAUACGGGCCAGACUCCUACGGGAGGCAGCAGUAGGGAAUAUUGGGCAAUGGACGCAAGUCUGACCCAGCCAUGCCGCGUGCAGGAUGAAGGCGUUAUGCGUUGUAAACUGCUUUUAUACAAGAAGAAACGACUCUUGCGAGAGGCAUUGACGGUACUGUAUGAAUAAGCACCGGCUAACUCCGUGCCAGCAGCCGCGGUAACAC
rnacentral:rRNA from 1 species